rnacentral:rRNA from 1 species
AUUGAACGCUGGCGGCAGGCCUAACCCAUGCAAGUCGAGCGAGCGGCGGACGUGUGCGUAAUGUCUGGGAAACUGCCUGAUGGAGGGGGAUAACUACUGGAAACGGUAGCUAAUACCGCAUACCAUCAGAUGUGCCCAGAUGGGAUUAGCUGGUCGGUGGGGUAACGGCUCACCUAGGCGACGAUCCCUAGCUGGUCUGAGAGGAUGACCAGCAACACUGGAACUGAGAAACGGGCCAGAAUCCUACGAGAGGCAGGAGUGGGGAAUAUUGCACAAUGGGCGCAAGCCUGAUACAGCCAUGCCGCGUGUGUGAAGAAGGCCUUCGGGUUGUAAAGCAAUUUCAGCGGGGAGGAGUUACCCGCAGAAGAAGCACCGGCUAACUCCGUGCCAGCCGCCGCGGUAAUAC